rnacentral:rRNA from 1 species
AGAGUUUGAUCAUGGCUCAGAUUGAACGCUGGCGGCAGGCCUAACACAUGCAAGUCGAACGGUAACAGGAAGAAGCUUGCUUCUUUGCUGACGAGUGGCGGACGGGUGAGUAAUGUCUGGGAAACUGCCUGAUGGAGGGGGAUAACUACUGGAAACGGUAGCUAAUACCGCAUAACGUCGCAAGACCAAAGAGGGGGACCCUCGGGCCUCUUGCCAUCGGAUGUGCCCAGAUGGGAUUAGCUUGUUGGUGGGGUAACGGCUCACCAAGGCGACGAUCCCUAGCUGGUCUGAGAGGAUGACCAGCCACACUGGAACUGAGACACGGUCCAGACUCCUACGGGAGGCAGCAGUGGGGAAUAUUGCACAAUGGGCGCAAGCCUGAUGCAGCCAUGCCGCGUGUAUGAAGAAGGCCUUCGGGUUGUAAAGUACUUUCAGCGGGGAGGAAGGGAGUAAAGUUAAUACCUUUGCUCAUUGACGUUACCCGCAGAAGAAGCACCGGCUAACUCCGUGCCAGCAGCCGCGGUAAUACGGAGGGUGCAAGCGUUAAUCGGAAUUACUGGGCGUAAAGCGCACGCAGGCGGUUUGUUAAGUCAGAUGUGAAAUCCCCGGGCUCAACCUGGGAACUGCAUCUGAUACUGGCAAGCUUGAGUCUCGUAGAGGGGGGUAGAAUUCCAGGUGUAGCGGUGAAAUGCGUAGAGAUCUGGAGGAAUACCGGUGGCGAAGGCGGCCCCCUGGACGAAGACUGACGCUCAGGUGCGAAAGCGUGGGGAGCAAACAGGAUUAGAUACCCUGGUAGUCCACGCCGUAAACGAUGUCGACUUGGAGGUUGUGCCCUUGAGGCGUGGCUUCCGGAGCUAACGCGUUAAGUCGACCGCCUGGGGAGUACGGCCGCAAGGUUAAAACUCAAAUGAAUUGACGGGGGCCCGCACAAGCGGUGGAGCAUGUGGUUUAAUUCGAUGCAACGCGAAGAACCUUACCUGGUCUUGACAUCCACAGAACUUUCCAGAGAUGGAUUGGUGCCUUCGGGAACUGUGAGACAGGUGCUGCAUGGCUGUCGUCAGCUCGUGUUGUGAAAUGUUGGGUUAAGUCCCGCAACGAGC